rnacentral:rRNA from 1 species
UGCAAGUCGAGCGAACAGACGAGGAGCUUGCUCCUCUGACGUUAGCGGCGGACGGGUGAGUAACACGUGGAUAACCUACCUAUAAGACUGGGAUAACUUCGGGAAACCGGAGCUAAUACCGGAUAACAUGUUGAACCGCAUGGUUCAACAGUGAAAGACGGUCUUGCUGUCACUUAUAGAUGGAUCCGCGCCGCAUUAGCUAGUUGGUAAGGUAACGGCUUACCAAGGCAACGAUGCGUAGCCGACCUGAGAGGGUGAUCGGCCACACUGGAACUGAGACACGGUCCAGACUCCUACGGGAGGCAGCAGUAGGGAAUCUUCCGCAAUGGGCGAAAGCCUGACGGAGCAACGCCGCGUGAGUGAAGAAGGUCUUCGGAUCGUAAAACUCUGUUAUUAGGGAAGAACAAAUGUGUAAGUAACUAUGCACGUCUUGACGGUACCUAAUCAGAAAGCCACGGCUAACUACGUGCCAGCAGCCGCGGUAAUACGUAGGUGGCAAGCGUUAUCCGGAAUUAUUGGGCGUAAAGCGCGCGUAGGCGGUUUUUUAAGUCUGAUGUGAAAGCCCACGGCUCAACCGUGGAGGGUCAUUGGAAACUGGAAAACUUGAGUGCAGAAGAGGAAAGUGGAAUUCCAUGUGUAGCGGUGAAAUGCGUAGA